UGCGUUUCACAGCUUCCCUGGGAAACUCGAUGUGAGGCAGACGAAAGAGUAGCAGAGAAGGAGUUCGCAUCUGCUGCAGUGUUCACGCAUGACAGCCACAUCCACCGUUGACCUCAGGCCUUCAGGAUCCUCUACCAUCUCCAGGACAACCACUCUUACCCCUCUGGUCUUCACUAUUGAUGUGUGUCCCUGAAGAUAAAGGACCUCUGAUUGCCACCGCCCUCCGAAAACUUGGCUAUGUCUUGUGGUCUGCAUAAAAUACAAUUUUGAGACUCAAAUAUUUGUGCAACACUUGACAAACAAGUUACACCAUACGCAGGCAUCCCUGGUCAGAGUGGCACUUCUACA